AGUGGAUGGGGAGCAACCUAGUUGUGCGUGUGUAAAGGUAGUGCCAAGAAAAGCGGUGAUCAUGAUGAAAUCAAUUCCCGGUACCCGAAACCGACACAGGUGGGCAAGUAGAGAAUACUAAGGGGCGCGAGGUAACUCUCUCCAAGGAACUCGGCAAAAUGACCCCGUAACUUAGGGAGAAGGGGUGCCACCGAGAGGUGGUCGCAGUGAAGAGGCCCAGGCGACUGUUUAGCAAAAACAUAGGUCUCUGCAAACUCGAAAGAGGAGGUAUAGGGGCUGACGCCUGCCCAGUGCCGGAAGGUUAAAGAAGUUGGUCAGUCUUAGGAUGAAGCUAGCGACUGAAGCCCCGGUGAACGGCGGCCGUAACUAUAACGGUCCUAAGGUAGCGAAAUUCCUUGUCGGGUAAGUUCCGACCCGCACGAAAGGCGUAACGAUCUGGGCGCUGUCUCGGAGAGAGGCUCGGCGAAAUAGGAUUGUCUGUGAAGAUACGGACUACCUGCAUUUGGACAGAAAGACCCUAUGAAGCUUUACUAUAGCUUGGAAUUGUGUUCGGGCUUCCUGUGCGCAGGAUAGGUGGGAGGCGUAGAAGGUAUUCUUGUGGGGAUACUGGAGCCAACGGUGAGAUACCACUCUCAGGAGGCUAGAAUUCUAACUUAAUUAAGGACAGUUUCAGGUGGGUAGUUUGACUGGGGCGGUCGCCUCCAAAAAGGUAACGGAGGCGUACAAAGGUUCCCUCAGACUGGUUGGAAAUCAGUCGAAGAGUGCAAAGGCAGAAGGGAGCUUGACUGCGAGAAGUACAGUUCGAGCAGGGUGGAAACACGGUCUUAGUGAUCCGACGGUGCUGUGUGGAAGGGCCGUCGUUCAACGGAUAAAAGUUACUCUAGGAUAACAGGCUGAUCUCCCCCAAGAGUUCACAUCGACGGGGAGGUUUGGCACCUCGAUGUCGGCUCAUCGCAACCUGGGGCGGAAGUACGUCCCAAGGGUUGGGCUGUUCGCCCAUUAAAGCGGUACGUGAGCUGGGUUCAGAACGUCGUGAGACAGUUCGGUCCAUAUCCGAUGUAGGCGUGAGAAUAUUGAGAGGAGCCUUCCUUAGUACGAGAGGACCGGGAAGGACGCACCGCUGGUGUACCUGUUAUGAUGCCAAUUGUAAACGCAGGGUAGCCAAGUGCGGAGAGGAUAACCGCUGAAAGCAUCUAAGUGGGAAGCCCACCUCAAGAUGAGUAUUCUGGUGUAAGGUCACGGGAAGACGACCCGUAAAUAGGCACGAGGUGGAAGUGCAGAGAUGUAUGAAGCCGAAGUGUACUAAUAGACCGUCGGCUUGACC
rnacentral:rRNA from 1 species